ACAUACAGUAGAACCUCGAUUAUCCGAACUAAUUGGGACCGCACCUAGUUCGGAUACGCAAAAGUUCGGAUAUUGGAAAUUUAAAAAAAAAAUUUAGAAUUACAUAAGCCUGUUGCGUUUUGGUUAUCUACUAAUGAUUGACGCACGUAAAAUACAUAACCUGUACUAAUAAUAAUCCAAAAAGGCAAAAACGAUAGUUAUGAUAAAUUCGAUAAACCGGCCGACCGGCCGGAUACGAAUUUUCAUGUUCGGAUAA